ensembl:rRNA 5S_rRNA 5S ribosomal RNA
CCUUAUGGCCAUACCACCCUGAACGUGCCCAUCUUUUCUGAUCUCCGAAGCUUAGCAGGGUUGGAUCUGGUUAGUACUUGGAUGGAGAAAAACCCCUAUUCUGGGC